ensembl:snRNA U6 U6 spliceosomal RNA
GUGCUCGCUUGGGCAGCACAGAUACUCACACUGGAACGACACAGAGAAGUAACAUUAGCAUGGCCCUUGCACAAGGAGACGCGCAAAUUCAUGAAACUCCGGAGAACUCC